rnacentral:rRNA from 1 species
UACAGAGGGUGCAAGCGUUGUUCGGAAUUACUGGGCGUAAAGCGUGCGUAGUCGGUAUUGAGAGUCGCGGGUGAAAUCCCAGGGCUUAACCCUGGAACUGCCUGCGAGACCUCAGUACUAGAGUGUGAGAGGGGAUAGUGGAAUACCAAGUGUAGCGGUGAAAUGCGUAGAUAUCUGGAAGAACACCAAAGGCGAAGGCAGUGUCCUGGGUGGUCGCUGACGCUGAGAGGCGAAAGCCAGGGGAGCGAACGGG